GACGAACCGUGCGAACGUUGUUCGGAAUCACUGGGCUUAAAGGGCGCGUAGGCGGGCCGGCAAGUCAGGGGUGAAAUCUUCCAGCUCAACUGGAAAAGGGCCUUUGAUACUGUCGGCCUCGAGGGAGGUAGGGGCAUGCGGAACUUCCGGUGGAGCGGUGAAAUGCGUAGAUAUCGGAAGGAACGCCGGUGGCGAAAGCGGCGUGCUGGACCUCUUCUGACGCUGAGGCGCGAAAGCUAGGGGAGCAAACGGG
rnacentral:rRNA from 1 species